GUGGGGAAUAUUGGACAAUGGGCGCAAGCCUGAUCCAGCAAUGCCGCGUGCAGGAAGAAGGCCUUCGGGUUGUAAACUGCUUUUGUACGGAGCGAAAAGGUUCCCUCUAAUACAGGGGGCUCAUGACGGUACCGUAAGAAUAAGCACUGGCUAACUACGUGCCAGCAGCCGCGGUAAUACGUAGGGUGCAAGCGUUAAUCGGAAUUACUGGGCGUAAAGCGUGCGCAGGCGGUUUGGUAAGUCAGAUGUGAAAUCCCCGAGCUCAACUUGGGAACUGCGUUUGAAACUACCAGACUAGAAUAUGUCAGAGGGGGGUAGAAUUCCACGUGUAGCAGUGAAAUGCGUAGAGAUGUGGAGGAAUACCAAUGGCGAAGGCAGCCCCCUGGGAUAAUAUUGACGCUCAUGCACGAAAGCGUGGGGAGCAAACAGGAUUAGAAACCCGGGUAGUCC
rnacentral:rRNA from 1 species